UACGAGUGCCUCAAGCGUUAUCCGGAAUCAUUGGGCGUAAAGCGCGUGUAGGCGGCUCGGUAAGUCUGCUGUGAAAGUCCAGGGCUCAACCCUGGGAUGCCGGUGGAUACUGUCGAGCUCGAGUCCGGAAGAGGCGAGUGGAAUUCCUGGUGUAGCGGUGAAAUGCGCAGAUAUCAGGAGGAACACCAAUGGCGAAGGCAGCUCGCUGGGACGUGACUGACGCUGAGACGCGAAAGCGUGGGGAGCAAACAGG
rnacentral:rRNA from 1 species